rnacentral:rRNA from 1 species
GGGCAGUUAAAAGGAUAUCGUGGCCGGGGUGAUGAGAGGUUCGGAUGGGAAGUUGGCCCUAUAAUACUGAAAAGGUGAAAUUUAUUAAUUAAUUUUAGGGUUAGAUCGGGUUCUUGAUUUUCUUAGUCUUUAAAGUUUGGGAUAUAAAAUAGGAUUAGAUACCCUAUUAUACUCAGAUUUAAUUCGUAGGACCUUUGAGUAGUAAACAGUUAUGGUCUCGAAACUCAAAGGAUUUGGCGGUAUUUAAGUCCAGUUAGAGGAACUUGUAGAGUAAACGAUAAUCCGCGAGUAUCUAGCCUGUCUUUGUGUCAAUCAGUUUGUAUACCGCCAUUAUUAGAUAAUCUCUGGAGAGAGUUGUUAAAAUUAAGAUUAAGUUAAGUAUAUUAGGUCAAGGUGCAGCUUAUAGGCAGGAUCUUAUGAGUUACAAUAAUAUAAUUUUUAUCACGGAGGGGUUAUGGGAGUGUAAGACCUGAAGGUGGAUUUAAUUGUAAUCGGCGUGUAUAAUGCGUGGUUGGUAGAGGCUCUUAGAUAUGUACACAUCGCCCGUCGUUCUCACUUU